GUCCAGUGGCGGCUGCUUACCAUGCAGUCGAACGAUGAUGCCCAGCUUGCUGGGUUGAUUAGUGGCGAACGGGUGAGUAACACGUGAGUAACCUGCCCCUGACUCUGGGAUAAGCGUUGGAAACGACGUCUAAUACUGGAUAUGAUCGCCGGCCGCAUGGUCUGGUGGUGGAAAGAUUUUUUGGUUGGGGAUGGACUCGCGGCCUAUCAGCUUGUUGGUGAGGUAAUGGCUCACCAAGGCGACGACGGGUAGCCGGCCUGAGAGGGUGACCGGCCACACUGGGACUGAGACACGGCCCAGACUCCUACGGGAGGCAGCAGUGGGGAAUAUUGCACAAUGGGCGAAAGCCUGAUGCAGCAACGCCGCGUGAGGGAUGACGGCCUUCGGGUUGUAAACCUCUUUUAGUAGGGAAGAAGCGAAAGUGACGGUACCUGCAGAAAAAGCACCGGCUAACUACGUGCCAGCAGCCGCGGUAAUACGUAGGGUGCAAGCGUUGUCCGGAAUUAUUGGGCGUAAAGAGCUCGUAGGCGGUUUGUCGCGUCUGCUGUGAAAUCCCGAGGCUCAACCUCGGGCUUGCAGUGGGUACGGGCAGACUAGAGUGCGGUAGGGGAGAUUGGAAUUCCUGGUGUAGCGGUGGAAUGCGCAGAUAUCAGGAGGAACACCGAUGGCGAAGGCAGAUCUCUGGGCCGUAACUGACGCUGAGGAGCGAAAGCAUGGGGAGCGAACAGGAUUAGAUACCCUGGUAGUCCAUGCCGUAAACGUUGGGCGCUAGAUGUAGGGACCUUUCCACGGUUUCUGUGUCGUAGCUAACGCAUUAAGCGCCCCGCCUGGGGAGUACGGCCGCAAGGCUAAAACUCAAAGGAAUUGACGGGGGCCCGCACAAGCGGCGGAGCAUGCGGAUUAAUUCGAUGCAACGCGAAGAACCUUACCAAGGCUUGACAUACACCGGAAACGGCCAGAGAUGGUCGCCCCCUUGUGGUCGGUGUACAGGUGGUGCAUGGUUGUCGUCAGCUCGUGUCGUGAGAUGUUGGGUUAAGUCCCGCAACGAGCGCAACCCUCGUUCU
rnacentral:rRNA from 1 species